rnacentral:rRNA from 1 species
AGAGUUUGAUCCUGGCUCAGGAUGAACGCUGGCGGCGUGCCUAAUACAUGCAAGUCGAACGGGGUGUUUGAGCAAUCGGACACUUAGUGGCGAACGGGUGAGUAACGCGUUGGUGACCUGCCCCAAAGCGGGGGAUAACAGCCUGAAAGGGUUGCUAAUACCGCAUAUGAUGAUGAGAGACUAGAAACUUAUCAUUAAAGGAGAAAUCCACUUUGGGAGGGGCCUGCGUCCCAUCAGCUAGUUGGUAGGGUAAAAGCCUACCAAGGCGAAGACGGGUAGGGGACCUGAGAGGGUGACCCCCCACAAUGGAACUGAAACACGGUCCAUACACCUACGGGUGGCAGCAGUAGGGGAUAUUGCACAAUGGGCGGAAGCCUGAUGCAGCAACGCCGCGUGAGUGAUGAAGGCCCUCGGGUCGUAAAACUCUUUUCAAGAGGAAGAGGAAGGACGGUACUCUUGGAAUAAGCCUCGGCUAACUACGUGCCAGCAGCCGCGGUAA